AGUGAACGCUGGCGGUAGGCCUAACACAUGCAAGUCGAACGGCAGCACAGUAAGAGCUUGCUCUUACGGGUGGCGAGUGGCGGACGGGUGAGGAAUACAUCGGAAUCUACUCUUUCGUGGGGGAUAACGUAGGGAAACUUACGCUAAUACCGCAUACGACCUACGGGUGAAAGCAGGGGAUCUUCGGACCUUGCGCGAUUGAAUGAGCCGAUGUCGGAUUAGCUAGUUGGCGGGGUAAAGGCCCACCAAGGCGACGAUCCGUAGCUGGUGUGAGAGGAUGGUCAGCCACGCUGGAACUGAGACACGGACCAGACUCCUGCGGGAGGCAGCAGUGGGGAAUAUGGGACAAUGGGCGCAAGCCUGAUCCAGCCAUACCGCGUGUGUGAAGAAGGCCUUCGGGUUGUGAAGCCCUUUUGUUGGGAAAGAAAGGCAGCAGGUUAAUACCCCGCUGUUCUGACGGUACCCAAAGAAUAAGCACCGGCUAACUUCGUG
rnacentral:rRNA from 1 species